rnacentral:rRNA from 1 species
AUACGGAGGAUGCGAGCGUUAUCCGGAUUUAUUGGGUUUAAAGGGUGCGUAGGCUGUGCGUUAAGUCAGGGGUGAAAUGCCGUCGCUCAACGACGGAGCUGCCCUUGAUACUGGCGUGCUGGAGUACGGAUGCCGUUGGAGGAAUGAGUGGUGUAGCGGGGAAAUGCUUAGAUAUCACUCAGAACACCGAUUGCGAAGGCAUCUGACGAAUCCGUCACUGACGCUGAGGCACGAAAGCGUGGGGAUAGAACAGGAUUAGAUACCCUGGUAUUCCACGCCGUAAACGAUGAUGACUAACCGUCGGCGAUAGACAGCCGGUGGCCAAGCGAAAGCGAUAAGUCAUCCACCUGGGGAGUACGUCGGCAACGAUGAAACUUAAAGGAAUUGACGGGG